CGUAGGAUCCGAGCGUUAUCCGGAGUGACUGGGCGUAAAGAGUUGCGUAGGCGGUUAUGUAAGUGAAUAGUGAAAGCUGGUGGCUCAACCAUACAGACUAUUAUUCAAACUACAUAACUCGAGAAUGGUAGAGGUAACUGGAAUUUCUUGUGUAGGAGUGAAAUCCGUAGAUAUAAGAAGGAACACCAAUGGCGUAGGCAGGUUACUGGACCAUUUCUGACGCUAAGUCACGAAAGCGUGGGGAGCGAACCGGAUUAGAUACCCGCGUA
rnacentral:rRNA from 1 species